ACAUCCAGAGAACUUAGCAGAGAUGCUUUGGUGCCUUCGGGAACUCUGAGACAGGUGCUGCAUGGCUGUCGUCAGCUCGUGUUGUGAAAUGUUGGGUUAAGUCCCGNAACGAGCGCAACCCUUAUCCUUUGUUGCCAGCGAUUCGGUCGGGAACUCAAAGGAGACUGCCGGUGAUAAACCGGAGGAAGGUGGGGAUGACGUCAAGUCAUCAUGGCCCUUACGGCCAGGGCUACACACGUGCUACAAUGGCGCAUACAAAGAGAAGCGACCUCGCGAGAGCAAGCGGACCUCAUAAAGUGCGUCGUAGUCCGGAUUGGAGUCUGCAACUCGACUCCAUGAAGUCGGAAUCGCUAGUAAUCGUAGAUCAGAAUGCUACGGUGAAUACGUUCCCGGGCCUUGUACACACCGCCCGUCACACCAUGGGAGUGGGUUGCAAAAGAAGUAGGUAGCUUAACCUUCGGGAGGGCGCUUACCACUUUGUGAUUCAUGACUGGGGUGAAGUCGUAACAAGGUAAGCGUAGACGU
rnacentral:rRNA from 1 species